AGGGAAUCUUCCGCAAUGGACGAAAGUCUGACGGAGCAACGCCGCGUGAGUGAUGAAGGCCUUCGGGUCGUAAAACUCUGUUGUUAGGGAAGAACAAGUAUCGGAGUAACUGCCGGUACCUUGACGGUACCUAACCAGAAAGCCACGGCUAACUACGUGCCAGCAGCCGCGGUAAUACGUAGGUGGCAAGCGUUGUCCGGAAUUAUUGGGCGUAAAGCGCGCGCAGGCGGUCCUUUAAGUCUGAUGUGAAAGCCCACGGCUCAACCGUGGAGGGUCAUUGGAAACUGGGGGACUUGAGUGCAGAAGAGGAAAGCGGAAUUCCACGUGUAGCGGUGAAAUGCGUAGAGAUGUGGAGGAACACCAGUGGCGAAGGCGGCUUUCUGGUCUGUAACUGACGCUGAGGCGCGAAAGCGUGGGGAGCAAAC
rnacentral:rRNA from 1 species